rnacentral:rRNA from 1 species
GAGUUUGAUCGUGGCUCAGAUUGAACGCUGGCGGCAUGCCUUACACAUGCAAGUCGAACGGCAGCAUGAUCUAGCUUGCUAGAUUGAUGGCGAGUGGCGAACGGGUGAGUAAUACAUCGGAACGUGCCCUGUAGUGGGGGAUAACUAGUCGAAAGAUUAGCUAAUACCGCAUACGACCUGAGGGUGAAAGUGGGGGACCGCAAGGCCUCAUGCUAUAGAAGCGGCCGAUGUCUGAUUAGCUAGUUGGUGGGGUAAAGGCCCGACCAAGGCGACGAUCAGUAGCUGGUCUGAGAGGACGAUCAGCCACACUGGGACUGAGACACGGCCCAGACUCCUACGGGAGGCAGCAGUGGGGAAUUUUGGACAAUGGGCGAAAGCCUGAUCCAGCAAUGCCGCGUGUGUGAAGAAGGCCU